rnacentral:rRNA from 1 species
CUGAGGUUACUGCUAUCGAGGAUUCGACUAAGCCAUGCGAGUUGAAUGUUCUUCGUGAACAUGGCGGACUGCUCAGUAACACGUGGACAACCUACCCUUGGGUCCGGCAUAAUCCUGGGAAACUGGGAAUAAUUCCGGAUAGGUCACCGAUGCUGGAAUGCGCGGUGGCCGAAAGCUCCGGCGCCCGAGGAUGGGUCUGCGGCCUAUCAGGGUUGUAGUGGGUGUAACGUACCUACUAGCCUACGACGGGUACGGGUUGUGAGAGCAAGAGCCCGGAGAUGGAUUCUGAGACACGAAUCCAGGCCCUACGGGGUGCAGCAGGCGCGAAAACUUUACAAUGCGGGAAACCGUGAUAAGGGGAUCUCGAGUGCCAGCAUAUAAUGUUGGCUGUCCAGAUGCCUAAAAAGCAUCUGUUAGCAAGGGCCGGGCAAGACCGGUGCCAGCCGCCGCGGUAACACCGGCGGCCCGAGUGGUAACCGCUAUUAUUGGGUCUAAAGGGUCUGUAGCCGGCCAGGUAAGUCCCUUGGGAAAUCUGGCAGCUCAACUGUCAGGCUGCUAGGGGAUACUGUUUGGCUUGGGACCGGGAGAGGUGAGAGGUACCUUGGGGGUAGGGGUGAAAUCUUGUGAUCCUCGAGGGACCACCAGUGGCGAAGGCGUCUCACCAGAACGGGUCCGACGGUAAGGGACGAAAGCUAGGGGCACGAACCGGAUUAGAUACCCGGGUAGUCCUAGCCGUAAACGAUGCUCGCUAGGUGUCAGUCACGGUGCGACCGUGAUUGGUGCCGUAGGGAAGCCGUGAAGCGAGCCACCUGGGAAGUAUGGCCGCAAGGCUGAAACUUAAAGGAAUUGGCGGGSGAGCACUACAWCGGGGUGGAGCCUGCGGUUUAAUUG